GAAAAAUAAUAAACUUGUAUAAAAUUUUUGUCAAGUGAGACAAAAUAAAAUAUAAUAAAUUGUGCUUUUGCCCAAACUUGAAAAUGUUAAAUGAUAAUUCAGGUGGGGGCGAGGUAACUUUAACUGCCUCACUUUCAUACACAUACCAGUGUUUGUUGCAUGUUCUUCGCUACAUGUACAUGUAUAAGGGUUAAAUUCAUAACUGAAGGUUCUUGCAUUUUCCCCUCAUUCAGAACUUCUCCCAUUUUUCAACCAAACAAUUCUUGUGUGUUUUGUAAUGAUAAUAACAAUGAUUUAUUCUUUUCUUUGAUAUUGAUGAGUGAUCUGCAGUUUUCCUUGAAUUUUCGCAGUUGAUAAUCCUGAUAUUUGUACUUUAUAAAUUAAAUUUGAUAUAAGAAGAAAGUUCACUCUUAUGCACACGUUCCUUUUUCAUUUUUGCCUUGCUAUGAAAAUCGAUCCUUUGACUUUGGUGUUCCGAAUGACAGUGAACGGUGAACGCUUUGUGAACGGUGAAUGCAUGGUGAGAGCAAAACUGUAAAUGGAGAGCGCACGGUGAUCGAACGGUGAACGCACGCACCCAGGGGUAUGAUGGGGCCACAAUAGGGGAUCUCAGAUUUACAUGCAGAUAUAUAGGAAAAUGUUCUCCAGAACAACAGCACCAUGAAUAGUCCUUUUAAUGUGCAAGCAUCCUCAGGAAAAGCAGCUUGGUCUGACACAUUCCAAGGUGGCUGGCUGAUUACCUGUCUGUACAAAGUGUACAUGGAACACUUAAAGAAAGGUCACAAGAUCCGCAUGAUCCGUUCCAUCACGCAGAUCAACCGUCUCAUGGCCCUCUCAAUGCACUCUGUUACAGAUGAUCCCCAGCUCAACUCUAUGAAGUGUGUGCCUGUUAUGACUCACAUGUUAGAGAGAGACAUUGUACUGGUGCCAAAAAACCUUCAAUAAAAGUUCACAGACUGGCAGCAAUCCUACUCAAUACAAUUUGUUAUUCAUGCCUGAAAAUACUGGAGAUAGUUUUUGGUCUGUCUGUUUAUGACAUUUGCAUUUUUCAUAAUUUUGGAUUUGAUGAAAUGUAGGGUCAAGGUCAAGCUUUAUUCCAGGUUAAGCAGACAUAUCAGUAGAUGUGUUAGAUAUAAAUGUUUGUAAUGCUGCAAGUGCAUGGCUUCACCCUAGAAUGUACCAUAGACAAAUCGUAACAGAACAUGAUUGGUGUCUCAGUCCGGUUUUGCUAGAACCCGGUUUUAAUGGUACAAUAUGUUAACUUCUUAUUGUUUCACACAAGUCCAUUGGUUUGAUAUUCUCUUGCUUUACAGGUAUAGUGUAUUAUUCCAGACGUUUUUCAUUCCUUGGAAAAAAAUUUUGAAACCUUUGUGUGACAAUUAACUUGUAUUAUAAGUUUUUGUAAUUAUGUGUUAAUGUUGCAAAUACUAUGUUAUUUACCUGUAUAAACUUGUGUAAAUACUGUACAUAUUAAAACUGUACUCUGUUACAUGACUGCUAAUGACUUUAAUGUACUGUUAACUUAAUGUAAAUACUUUAAGAGAACUGUCAGUGAAUGACUAUUUUGAGGUAAUUUAUACAAUGUAAGGGAGGUAAUUUAUACAAUGUAAGGACCUUACACAUGUAACACAUCACUACAAUUCAUUUCAAAAGAGACAAAAGGGAUUAGUAUUUGAUGGAAUUAUUUAGUUAAGAUACAAUGAAAAUGAUGCUUGUAUAAUUUCAUAUUUGUAUUCACCGUCUAUUUUAAACAAAUACAGUAAAACGUGAUUAUAGUGGACCUCCAGGGCCAGUGAAACACAUUUCAUUAUAACCAAACUUUUGUUAUGUCCAAUACAAUUUUCAUUAUUUUCCUUUCAUAGGGGAAUACAUAUCAUUUUGCAUUAAACUUGAAUUUGUUAUAAGAGUAUUUUGCUGUACAUGUAUAAGGUAUUUUCACUGCAGUUUUUUGGUACAUGACACAAAAAUCUCAGGCAUCAUGAACCUAUGUGAUGUAUCAAAACUGGUUUAUAAGAAACUUGGUUAUAAAAAAUGAAAUCCCCGCCAGACCUUUCAAAUAUUGAUUUAAUUCAUAGAUAUUUCAAUCAUUAGCAAUAAUGUAGUCUUUUAGCCAAUGAUGCAAUGAAUUUUAGCAGAUAUUUAUUUUGACAUUGAAUGGGAUAUUUUUUGUACUUCCAAUAAAAAUUGAAUGAUGUUCACAUC